GGGGCUGUAGCUCAGCAGGAUAGAGCAAGCGCCUCCUAAGCGCUAGGUCGCUGGUUCGAAUCCAGCCAGUCCCGCCU
rnacentral:tRNA from 23 species